GCCGGGGUGGCGGAACUGGCAGACGCGGCAGACUCAAAAUCUGUCGGGCUGAACAGCCCGUGUGGGUUCGACUCCCACCCCCGGCACCA
rnacentral:tRNA from 1 species